rnacentral:rRNA from 1 species
UACGAAGGGUGCAAGCGUUACUCGGAAUUACUGGGCGUAAAGGGUGCGUAGGUGGUUCGUUAAGUCUGAUGUGAAAGCCCUGGGCUCAACCUGGGAAUUGCAUUGGAUACUGGCGGGCUGGAGUGCGGUAGAGGGUAGUGGAAUUCCCGGUGUAGCAGUGAAAUGCGUAGAUAUCGGGAGGAACAUCCGUGGCGAAGGCGACUGCCUGGACCAGCACUGACACUGAGGCACGAAAGCGUGGGGAGCAAACAGGAUUAGAUACCCU